rnacentral:lncRNA from 1 species
ACGAGGUUCCUACCACUCUGCCAUUCAUGAUGCUAGACCUAAAACUAUCAAAGAAUUUAUGGAGGUCUUCGGUAUUGUUGAUGACGUUACAGGUGACCACGGUCUACCAACAGUUAGUAUGUAAGAGAACAAGAUGGGACUGCAAGCCGAUUAUAUUUUAGUUAUAUUUAUCUGUUACUACAAUUUACUGCAUAUCAAACACUGAAUCAUGAUUUUCAAUCAUAAUUAUGAGGUUCUGAAUUUUAUUUCUUAU